rnacentral:rRNA from 1 species
CCUACGGGAGGCAGCAGUGGGGAAUAUUGGUCAAUGGACGAGAGUCUGAACCAGCAACGUCGCGUGAAGGCUGACUGCCCUAUGGGUUGUAACCUUCUUUUAUAUGGGCAUAACAAGUUACACGAGUGGGGUUUUGUGUGUACCCUAUGAAUAAGGCUCGACUAACUCCGUGCCAGCAGCGGCGGUCAUACGGAGGAGCCGAGCGUUAUCCGGAUUUAUUGGGUUUAAAGGGAGCGUAGGUGGAGUGUUAAGUCAGUUGUGAAAGUUUGCGGCUCAACCGUUAGAUUGCAGUUGAAACUGGGAGUCUUGAGUACAGUAGAGGUAGGCGGAAUUCGUGGUGUAGCGGUGAAAUGCUUAGAUAUCACGAAGAACUCCGAUUGCGAAGGCAGCUCACUGGACUGCAACUGACACUGAGGCUCGAAAGUGUGGGUAUCAAACAGGAUUAGAUACCCCGGUAGUC